GACGAACGCUGGCGGCGUGCUUAACACAUGCAAGUCGAACGGAAAGGCCCUGCUUUUGUGGGGUGCUCGAGUGGCGAACGGGUGAGUAACACGUGAGUAACCUGCCCUUGACUUUGGGAUAACUUCAGGAAACUGGGGCUAAUACCGGAUAGGAGCUCCUGCUGCAUGGUGGGGGUUGGAAAGUUUCGACGGUUGGGGAUGGACUCGCGGCUUAUCAGCUUGUUGGUGGGGUAGUGGCUUACCAAGGCUUUGACGGGUAGCCGGCCUGAGAGGGUGACCGGCCACAUUGGGACUGAGGUACGGCCCAGACUCCUACGGGAGGCAGCAGUGGGGAAUAUUGCACAAUGGGCGGAAGCCUGAUGCAGCAACGCCGCGUGCGGGAUGACGGCCUUCGGGUUGUAAACCGCUUUCGCCUGUGACGAAGCGUGAGUGACGGUAAUGGGUAAAGAAGCACCGGCUAACUACGUG
rnacentral:rRNA from 1 species